CCAUCUGGAAGAAACACAGAGAGUAGCACGCCGAAGGCGGUUCCCGUUCCAUAGAGAAAGAAGUGAUUCCACAGGGUCCAGUUCAAUUUAUUUCACUGCUAACUCGGGAGCAACCAACACAGAUGAUGGAGAAAGUGAAGGCGGGUACACCACAGCCAAUGCUGAGUCUGAUUAUGACCGAGAGUCUGAGAAGGAGAGUGAAGAAGGGGAGGACGAACUGAGCUGUGAAACAGUGAGAACAGCAAGACGGGAUUCCCUGGAUCUCAUCAACGAGGAUGAAACGCAUUUAGUCCUUGAUUCCUUGCAGGAUGAAGGACUGAGCCAGCUACUGCAGCAGGCAGAUCACUUGCACAGUGGUGAUGAGCAGGAGAAGAGAGAGGGAUUCCAGCUGCUGCUGAAUAAUAAACUGGUGCACAGGGAAACAUCUUCAACAGGUGGAUGUGCUGGACUGCCUGGAUUUUGUGCUGACAAACAUCUUGGAGCUGAGGAGGGAAGUAGAGGAACUACGAAACAGCCUGCAGAACCUUGCUGCAGAUAUUGUGGGUGAAGUCAGGUUAGCGUCUGCCCUUCUUGUUUUGUCAUCUUUUGUCUGCUCUGCUGUGUUUUGUGUUCUACAGCACAGGGAAACAUCUUGAACAGUUGGGUGUCUGUUAAAUGGAAAAAGUGGAAAAAAAUGUCUCUUUAGUUUCUGCUGCCGUUAUAUCUUGGCAGUGAGAUUAUGUUGAAAUAAGACCAAGUGCUAGGUCCUGCACUUUGGUCACAGCAACCUCAUACAUCACUACAGGCUUGGGACAGACAGAGUUGCUGACAAAACUGCAUGGAGGAGAAGGAUCUGAGGGCAUUAGUCAGCAGCUGGCUGACUAGUAGUGUACCUGGGUAGCUAAGAAGGCCAGUGGCAUCCUGGCUUGUAUCAGAAAUAGUGCAGCCAGCAUGAGCAGGAGGUGAUGGUCCUUCUGCAGUCAGCUCUGGUGAGGCUGCAUCUUGAAUACUGUGUUCAGUUUUGGGUCCCUCAAUGCGAGGAAGACUUGGAUCAUAUCCAAAGAUGGGCAACAGAGCCGUGAGGGGACUGGAGCACAAGUCUGAUGGGGAGCAGCUGAGGGAACUGGGAUUGUUUGGCCUGGAGACGAGGAGGCUCAGGGGAGACCUCAUAGCUUUCUACAACUUCCUGUUGUAGAGGUUGUGGCAAGGUGGAGGUUGGCUUCUUCUCCUGGGUAUCAGCAACAGGACAAGAGAUGAUGGCCUUGAGUUAUGCCAAGGGAAGUUCAGGUUGGCU